rnacentral:rRNA from 1 species
GAUCAACGCUGGCGGCGUGCUUAACACAUGCAAGUCGAACGAAGUUUUUCCUUCGGGAGAAGCUUAGUGGCGGACGGGUGCGUAACGCGUGGGUAACCUGCCCUGUACAGGGGGACAACAGCUGUAAACGGCUGCUAAUACCGCAUAAGCCCUUAGCACUGCAUGGUGCAUAGGGAAAAGGAGCAAUCCGGUACAGGAUGGACCCGCGUCUGAUUAGCCAGUUGGCAGGGUAACGGCCUACCAAAGCGACGAUCAGUAGCCGAUCUGAGAGGAUGUACGGCCACAUUGGGACUGAGACACGGCCCAGACUCCUACGGGAGGCAGCAGUGGGGAAUAUUGCACAAUGGAGGAAACUCUGAUGCAGCGACGCCGCGUGAGUGAAGAAGUAUUUCGGUAUGUAAAGCUCUAUCAGCAGGGAAGAAAAUGACGGUACCUGACUAAGAAGCACCGGCUAAAUACGUG